rnacentral:tRNA from 1 species
GCUACCUUAGCUCAGUUGGUAGAGUAUGUCACUCGUAAUGACAGGGUCGCGAGUUCGAUUCUCGCAGGUAGCU